rnacentral:rRNA from 1 species
UACGUAGGGGGCAAGCGUUGUCCGGAAUCAUUGGGCGUAAAGCGCGUGUAGGCGGCCCGGAAAGUCUGGUGUGAAAUCUUGGGGCUCAACCCCAAUCUGUCACUGGAAACUAUCGGGCUUGAGUCUGGAAGAGGAGUGUGGAAUUCCUGGUGUAGCGGUGGAAUGCGCAGAUAUCAGGAGGAACACCAAUGGCGAAGGCAGCACUCUGGUACAUGACUGACGCUGAGACGCGAAAGCGUGGGUAGCAAACAGG